rnacentral:rRNA from 1 species
CCUACGGGAGGCAGCAGUGAGGCAUCUUGGUCAAUGGGCUUACGCCUGAACCAGCCAAGUCGCGUGAGGGAAGACUGCCCUAUGGGUUGUAAACCUCUUUUGUCAGGGAGCAAUUGGCGCUACGUGUAGCGUUAUCGAGAGUACCUGAAGAAAAAGCAUCGGCUAACUCCGUGCCAGCAGCCGCGGUACUACGGCGGAUGCAAGCGUUAUCCGGAUUUAUUGGGUUUAAAGGGUGCGUAGGAUGUGAGUUAAGUCAGCGGGGAAAUGCCCCCGCUCAACGGGGUGAAGUGCCAUUGAUACUGCCUUGCUGGAAUGCGGAUGCGGUAGGAGGAAUGUGUGGUGUAGCGGUGAAAUGCAUAGAUAGCACACAGAACACCGAUUGCGAAGGCAUCUCACGAAUCCGCGAUUGACGCUGAUGCACGAAAGCGUGGGUAUCAAACAGGAUUAGAUACCCCAGUAGUC